UGGGGAAUAUUGGACAAUGGGCGAAAGCCUGAUCCAGCCAUGCCGCGUGUGUGAAGAAGGUCUUCGGAUUGUAAAGCACUUUAAGUUGGGAGGAAGGGCAGUAAGCGAAUACCUUGCUGUUUUGACGUUACCGACAGAAUAAGCACCGGCUAACUCUGUGCCAGCAGCCGCGGUAAUACAGAGGGUGCAAGCGUUAAUCGGAAUUACUGGGCGUAAAGCGCGCGUAGGUGGUUCGUUAAGUUGAAUGUGAAAGCCCCGGGCUCAACCUGGGAACUGCAUCGAAAACUGGCUCACUAGAGUAGGUCAGAGGGUGGUGGAAUUUCCUGUGUAGCCGUGAAAUGCGUAGACAUAGGAAGGAACACCAGUGGCGAAGGCGACCACCUGGGCUCAUACUGACACUGAGGUGCGAAAGCGUGGGGAGCAAACAGG
rnacentral:rRNA from 1 species